CAGUCAAAUGCCGAAGGAAUUACAGCCUCCAACGCUCGUGGUCGCGGGUUCGAAUCCCGCCCCUGCCGCCAUCAAUGGCAGGGUAGCUCAGAGGUAGAGCACGUAACGAUUUCUUCACCCCUCGUUGACUGUCC
rfam:Cardiobacterium valvarum F0432 genomic scaffold Scfld609, whole genome shotgun sequence.